UUGACGGGGCCCGCACAAGCGGUGGAGCAUGUGGUUUAAUUCGAAGCAACGCGAAGAACCUUACCAGGUCUUGACAUCCCGAUGCUAUUUCUAGAGAUAGAAAGUUACUUCGGUACAUCGGUGACAGGUGGUGCAUGGUUGUCGUCAGCUCGUGUCGUGAGAUGUUGGGUUAAGUCCCGCAACGAGCGCAACCCUUAUUCUUAGUUGCCAGCACUAACGGUGGGCACUCUAAGGAGACUGCCGGUGACAAACCGGAGGAAGGUGGGGAUGACGUCAAAUCAUCAUGCCCUUUAUGACCUGGGCUACAAACGUACUACAAUGGCCAAUACAAAGAGAUGCGAAGCGGUGACGUGGAGCGAACCUCAGAAAGUUGGUCUCAGUUCAGAUUGAAGUCUGCAACUCGACUUCAUGAAGGCGGAAUCGCUAGUAAUCGCGGGUCAGCAGACCGCGGUGAAUACGUUCCCGGGUUUU
rnacentral:rRNA from 1 species